AUGUGUGAUAUCAUUAAUCUGUCCAGUUUUAUGAUUUUUAAAAUAAAUUUUUUAACCCCUUCAUUUUCUUUCAUUCUCAUAACCAUGAAGAAUACAUAUAAGGCAUUUAGCACUGUACUCAACAAAUGGGAUCUAAUUUUGAUGGGCCUCCAACUCACUAUUUGCUCGUCCUAUAGAAGUUUCAAAGAAGUAAAACAAGAGCAACAAGAAAAUUGAUUGGCUGAGCCUGAUGGGGACUCAGCUGCUUUAAAAAGUCCCAGACAGUGUCACUACAGCACCCAAUGGAAGUGGAAAGGCUAGAAUUGUCACACUAUCCUUAUGAUACUGAAAAUCCAGUUUGAAUUAUCUUCUCAUCAAAGUGACUACACUGUGGACAUCAGAUAUUUUUAAUACAUGCUGCUGCUAAGCCACAUGUUCUCCCACCAUAAACUCCUGCAACUGUGUCUUUUGGCCCUAAGUAUGAGGCUGUUAUUACUGUUAAAUUUCUCUUACUGGUUUUGUCAGUCACCUCAUGCUGUCAAAAUCAUUUCUGGGUUCUGAUUCUGUCUUCCAGUAUUGGAAAAUGCAUCCCAUAUUUGAGAAAAUUGUCCUCUCUCUGACUUGUCCAAGUCUUUGAUUUAAAUUAUAUAUAUAUAUAUAUAUAAUUUAUAUAUAUAGAGAGAGAGAGAGAGAGACAGAGAGACAGAGACAGAGAGACAGAGACAGAGAGAGACAGAGACAGAGAGAGAACAAGAGCAGACCAUGGGAAGAACACGACACUAAAAACCACAAUCUCAUUAAUCCAUUUGGAUGCAAUCAAUCAACAAAAAAUGGAUCCACUUAAUUGUUCUUAAUUCUAGAACAUAUCAUUAACAAAGAUUCUGUGGGAGAAUAUGACAAGUGCUGUGCUGAACUCUCAAUAUGCUAAAUGCAUAUUCCUGUUUUCUCCAGUAAUCUGUAACAUUCCAUUCAUUCACACCACUGAGCUAGAACAAGACAAUCAAAUCCCUGAACUCAUGGAAUUUACUUACGUUCUGCAAAAGUCAGUGAACAAUAGAGUUCACAAUUAGUUGUCAAAUGAUAAUUACAAUGCCAAAAUGUUAGUAAUUAAAUUAUAUGAUGUUGAAGAUUUCCUUCAAAAUAAUCAAAGGAUGGCAUAUAGUUCAAACAAGACUGAAAUUGAGUUAAUUGUUAAAAUUGGGUGACAGAAAUGCAGGAAUUUACUAUGCUAUUCUCUCAACAUUUUUCUAAGCUUGAAAUUUUCCAUUAACAGUUUUAAAUUAUAAUUAUGGGGGAUCCCUGGGUGGCUUGGCGGUUUCGCGCCUGCCUUUGGCCCAGGGCGGGAUCCUGGAGUCCCGGGAUCGAGUCCCGCAUUGGGCUUCCGGCAUGGAGCCUGCUUCUCCCUCUGCCUGUGUCUCUGACUCUCUCUCUCUCUCUCUCUGUCUAUCAUAAAUAAAUAAAAAUAAAUCUUUAAAAAAAUAAUUAUG
rnacentral:lncRNA from 12 species